rnacentral:rRNA from 1 species
UUCGCAAUGCCCGAAAGGGUGACGAAGCGACGCCGCGUGGGUGAGGAAGGCCCUCGGGUUGUAAAGCCCUGUCAGGAGUUAAGAAAUGUAAGUGUGUUAAUACCACAUUUAUUUGACGAAGGCUCCAAAGGAAGCCACGGCUAACUCUGUGCCAGCAGCCGCGGUAAUACAGAGGUGGCAAGCGUUGUUCGGAAUUAUUGGGCGUAAAGAGCACGUAGGUGGGUUUGCAAGUCAGAUGUGAAAGCCUUCUGUUCAACGGAAGAAUUGCAUCUGAAACUGCGAAUCUCGAGUGUAGGAGGGGAGAAUGGAACUUCUGGUGGAGCGGUGAAAUGCGUAGAUAUCAGAAGGAACGCCGGCGGCGAAAGCGAUUCUCUGGCCUAUUACUGACACUCAGUGUGCGAAAGCUAGGGGAGCAAACGGGAUUAGAUACCCCGGUAGUCCUGGCCGUAAACGAUGGGCACUAAGUAGAGGGGUUUU